GACGAACGCUGGCGGCGUGCUUAACACAUGCAAGUCGAACGCUGAAGCCCUGGCUUUUGUUGGGUUGGAUGAGUGGCGAACGGGUGAGUAACACGUGAGUAACCUGCCCUCUUCUUUGGGAUAACGCCCGGAAACGGGUGCUAAUACUGGAUAUUCACUGAUCUUCGCAUGGGGGUUGGUGGAAAGGUUUGUUCUGGUGGGGGAUGGGCUCGCGGCCUAUCAGCUUGUUGGUGGGGUGAUGGCCUACCAAGGCUUUGACGGGUAGCCGGCCUGAGAGGGUGACCGGUGACAUUGGGACGGAGAUACGGCCCAGACUCCUACGGGAGGCAGCAGUGGGGAAUAUUGCACAAUGAGCGAAAGCCUGAUGCAGCGACGCCGCGUGAGGGAUGGAGGCCUUCGGGUUGUAAACCUCUUUCGCUCAUGGUCAAGCCGCAACUGUGGGUUGUGGUGAGGGUAGUGGGUAAAGAAGCGCCGGCUAACUACGUG
rnacentral:rRNA from 1 species